rnacentral:rRNA from 1 species
GACGAACGCUGGCGGCGUGCUUAACACAUGCAAGUCGAACGGAAAGGCCCUGCUUUUGUGGGGUGCUCGAGUGGCGAACGGGUGAGUAACACGUGAGUAACCUGCCCUUGACUUUGGGAUAACUUCAGGAAACUGGGGCUAAUACCGGAUAGGAGCUCCUGCUGCAUGGUGGGGGUUGGAGAGUUUCGGCGGUUGGGGAUGGACUCGCGGCUUAUCAGCUUGUUGGUGGGGUAGUGGCUUACCAAGGCUUUGACGGGUAGCCGGCCUGAGAGGGUGACCGGCCACAUUGGGACUGAGAUACGGCCCAGACUCCUACGGGAGGCAGCAGUGGGGAAUAUUGCACAAUGGGCGGAAGCCUGAUGCAGCAACGCCGCGUGCGGGAUGACGGCCUUCGGGUUGUAAACCGCUUUCGCCUGUGACGAAGCGUGAGUGACGGUAAUGGGUAAAGAAGCACCGGCUAACUACGUGCCAGCAGCCGCGGUGAUACGUAGGGUGCGAGCGUUGUCCGGAUUUAUUGGGCGUAAAGGGCUCGUAGGUGGUUGAUCGCGUCGGAAGUGUAAUCUUGGGGCUUAACCCUGAGCGUGCUUUCGAUACGGGUUGACUUGAGGAAGGUAGGGGAGAAUGGAAUUCCUGGUGGAGCGGUGGAAUGCGCAGAUAUCAGGAGGAACACCAGUGGCGAAGGCGGUUCUCUGGGCCUUUCCUGACGCUGAGGAGCGAAAGCGUGGGGAGCGAACAGGCUUAGAUACCCUGGUAGUCCACGCUGUAAACGGUGGGUACUAGGUGUGGGGUCCAUUCCACGGGUUCCGUGCCGUAGCUAACGCUUUAAGUACCCCGCCUGGGGAGUACGGCCGCAAGGCUAAAACUCAAAGGAAUUGACGGGGCCCCGCACAAGCGGCGGAGCAUGCGGAUUAAUUCGAUGCAACGCGUAGAACCUUACCUGGGUUUGACAUGGAUCGGGAGUGCUCAGAGAUGGGUGUGCCUCUUUUGGGGUCGGUUCACAGGUGGUGCAUGGCUGUCGUCAGCUCGUGUCGUGAGAUGUUGGGUUAAGUCCCGCAACGAGCGCAACCCUUGUUCACUGUUGCCAGCACGUUAUGGUGGGGACUCAGUGGAGACCGCCGGGGUCAACUCGGAGGAAGGUGGGGAUGACGUCAAGUCAUCAUGCCCCCUUAUGUCCAGGGCUUCACGCAUGCUACAAUGGCUGGUACAGAGAGUGGCGAGCCUGUGAGGGUGAGCGAAUCUCGGAAAGCCGGUCUCAGUUCGGAUUGGGGUCUGCAACUCGACCUCAUGAAGUCGGAGUCGCUAGUAAUCGUAGAUCAGCAACGCUGCGGUGAAUACGUUCCCGGG